GCCUGGGUGGCUCAGUCGGUUGAGCGUCUGACUUCACCUCAGGUCACGAUCUCGCGGUCCGUGAGUUCGAGCCCCGCAUCGGGCU
rnacentral:tRNA from 1 species